UAUUAUUUAGGUUAUUUAAAGACCUUUAAAAUUACUAUUUAAAAGAUUAAUAAUUU
rnacentral:tRNA from 1 species